AUGGUCAACUCCACGCAGGGUGCAGCGGUGCCCUUCGGGGCCUUCGGGGCCUCUACUAUGGGAGGUGGGCAGGGAGAGGGCAGGAGACACCAGGGCAGGCGACCAGCCGAAACCUUCCCGUUUCUCCUAAAUGGGGUUGGGAUGUUGGCCGCCUGCCCCCCAGACAGAGCAGGUAACGCGUGUCCUCUGCACUGCCUGGCCUCGGGGACAGGGCCCAGGGACUCUCGGUUCUUCCAGCAGUCAGACAAGCCGCAGGUACUACGAAGCACCACGUGGGCCGGGCCAGAGUGGCGGNAGCGGGGCCACAGAGGCGGGAGGGGGCAGGAGAGGGGGCCCCAAGCGGGCGGGCUCGGGUCUUGGAAACGCGAACCAGCCAAGGCCCAGACGCAGGAGCAACUUCGGACCGGCGCCGCACAGCAGGGCUCACGGGCGUCGGGGAAGCCCAGCAUACUGACCCUUCACCCCAAACCCCAUGGCCCAGCCAUCCCGGGGGGCGCCCCACCGCCGCCUUCUGGCCCCGCCCACACCUUGGCCCCGCCCCGCUGUGGUCACGUGAUGCGCUCUGGGCGCCCCGCCCCCAGCGGUGAUUGGUUCGGGCGGUCAUGUGACCGGACCGCUGCGCAGGAACCAAAAUGGAGGGAUAGGUUGAGGGGUCUGGCUUCGUGGCGGCCCCACCUGCCCGGUGUCGUCGAGGUUUGCCGGUGCUGCCGUGGAGCCGAGGUUGGCUGUGUUUCGGUUUCUAGCACUGGCAACCUGAAGGUGUGCCCAGGAGGACACAGACUAAUUCUAGUGGACAACGCUGUGAAGCCCAAACACACCUGGAUCUCAGUCUAG
ensembl:lncRNA